rnacentral:rRNA from 1 species
UACGGGAGCAGCAGUGGGGAAUAUUGCACAAUGGGCGCAAGCCUGAUGCAGCCAUGCCGCGUGUAUGAAGAAGGCCUUCGGGUUGUAAAGUACUUUCAGUCGUGAGGAAGGUGUUAAGGUUAAUAACCUUAGCAAUUGACGUUAGCGACAGAAGAAGCACCGGCUAACUUCGUGCCAGCAGCCGCGGUAAUACGGAGGGUGCGAGCGUUAAUCGGAAUUACUGGGCGUAAAGGGCACGCAGGCGGUUAAUUAAGUUGGAUGUGAAAUCCCCGGGCUUAACCUGGGAAUGGCAUUCAAGACUGGUUAGCUAGAGUCUUGUAGAGGGGGUAGAAUUCCAUGUGUAGCGGUGAAAUGCGUAGAGAUGUGGAGGAAUACCGGUGGCGAAGGCGGCCCCUGGACAAAGACUGACGCUCAUGUGCGAAAGCGUGGGGAGCAAACG